rnacentral:piRNA from 1 species
UAUUUGAAUUUUCUGUCUCCCUUAAAUA